rnacentral:rRNA from 1 species
GAUGAACGCUGGCGGCGUGCCUAAUACAUGCAAGUCGAGCGAACGGACGAGAAGCUUGCUUCUCUGAUGUUAGCGGCGGACGGGUGAGUAACACGUGGAUAACCUACCUAUAAGACUGGGAUAACUUCGGGAAACCGGAGCUAAUACCGGAUAAUAUUUUGAACCGCAUGGUUCAAAAGUGAAAGACGGUCUUGCUGUCACUUAUAGAUUGAUCCGCGCUGCAUUAGCUAGUUGGUAAGGUAACGGCUUACCAAGGCAACGAUGCAUAGCCGACCUGAGAGGGUGAUCGGCCACACUGGAACUGAGACGCGGUCCAGACUCCUACGGGAGGCAGCAGUAGGGAAUCUUCCGCAAUGGGCGAAAGCCUGACGGAGCAACGCCGCGUGAGUGAUGAAGGUCUUCGGAUCGUAAAACUCUGUUAUUAGGGAAGAACAUAUGUGUAAGUAACUGUGCACAUCUUGACGGUACCUAAUCAGAAAGCCACGGCUAACUACGUG